AACGAACGCUGGCGGCAGGCCUAACACAUGCAAGUCGAGCGAGGUAGCAAUACCUAGCGGCGGACGGGUGAGUAACGCGUGGGAACGUGCCCUUUGCUUCGGAAUAGCCCCGGGAAACUGGGAGUAAUACCGGAUAAGCCCUACGGGGGAAAGAUUUAUCGGCGAAGGAUCGGCCCGCGUUGGAUUAGGUAGUUGGUGGGGUAAUGGCCUACCAAGCCGACGAUCCAUAGCUGGUUUGAGAGGAUGAUCAGCCACACUGGGACUGAGACACGGCCCAGACUCCUACGGGAGGCAGCAGUGGGGAAUCUUAGACAAUGGGGGAAACCCUGAUCUAGCCAUGCCGCGUGAGCGAUGAAGGCCUUAGGGUUGUAAAGCUCUUUCAGUGGGGAAGAUAAUGACUGUACCCACAGAAGAAGCCCCGGCUAACUCCGUGCCAGCCGCCGCAGUAACAC
rnacentral:rRNA from 1 species